rnacentral:rRNA from 1 species
UACGGGGGGAGCAAGCGUUGUUCGGAUUUACUGGGCGUAAAGCGUGCGUAGACGGUUAUUUAAGUCGGAUGUGAAAGCCCCGGGCUCAACCUGGGAAUUGCAUUCGAGACUGAAUAGCUAGGGUGCGGUAGAGGGAAGCGGAAUUUCCGGUGUAGCGGUGAAAUGCGUAGAUAUCGGAAGGAACAUCAGUGGCGAAAGCGGCUUCCUGGACCAGCACCGACGUUCAGGCACGAAAGCGUGGGGAGCAAACAGG